GGGUUCAGGUCUGUAAUUGGCGGGGAGUGACUAUGUGGCCUCGUGUUGUUUGUCGACACGGUCUCCGUUACCCUGUCAAUGUGUCAUCUUCAGUUUCCUCCUGGGCAGCCAGUCAUUAAGUGAGUAGAAACUUCAUCUCUCUUUUGUGGCCAUCUACGUACCAGCCUACGCAAAGCUACCUAUUUAUGGAGGCGACCAACCCUUGGCAGAGCUGGAGGAGGUUGUCCAGUUGGCACAGUAUUAGCAUGGAUUAUCCAAUAGAAGUUUCUGGACACUUGGCAAGGUGUGUGGUGAUGACGUGGAGCCAGCAUGAGCAUUGUGGUCCCUCACCAGACUUC